AAAAUAUAUAUAUAUAUAUAUAUAUAUAUAUAUAUAUUUUCUAGUGUGUAUUCUUAAAGGUCUAAAAAACUCAGACCAAACCUUCAGUCAUUAAAUUUUAGCUGUUUACCCCCCCCCAAAAAAAAAGAUAAACACCCCUCUGAUUUCAUAAAAUGUUUGGGUAAAAUAUACUUCUUGAGAUGCUAAUUCAGUAGGGGGACAGAUUACUCUUAUAGUUAAGCUAAUUACAGACAGCACCAGAUAUU